rnacentral:ncRNA from 1 species
UAAGAUGCGCGCGCUCAAGGUGAUCGCCGGCACAGUCCGGCGAUUGAAACGGGAAUCCGGUCGCGCCGCGGAUCUGUUCGCCAGAACGGUCCGCGCGCUCAAGCCGGAGCUGCCCCCGCAACGGUAGGCGAGUCCACGCACCGCAACGGCCACUGUGCUUCACGCAUGGGAAGGCGCGGCGCCGGAACCUCGGACAAGGACGCUCGACAGGUUCCACUCGCAAGCCCGGAGACCGGCCUGGAGCGCGAACCGACC